rnacentral:rRNA from 1 species
UACAGAGGUCUCAAGCGUUGUUCGGAUUCACUGGGCUUAAAGGGCGCGUAGGCGGGCUGCCAAGUCUGGGGUGAAAUCCCACGGCUCAACCGUGGAACUGCCUCGGAUACUGGCAGUCUCGAGUGCGGGAGAGGUGAGUGGAAUUCCCAGUGUAGAGGUGAAAUUCGUAGAUAUUGGGAAGAACACCAGUGGCGAAGGCGGCUCACUGGCCCGUAACUGACGCUGAGGUGCGAAAGCGUGGGGAGCAAACAGG